rnacentral:rRNA from 1 species
AUUGAACGCUGGCGGCAGGCUUAACACAUGCAAGUCGAACGGUAACAGGAGAAAGCUUGCUUUCUUGCUGACGAGUGGCGGACGGGUGAGUAAUGCUUGGGAAUCUGGCUUAUGGAGGGGGAUAACGACGGGAAACUGUCGCUAAUACCGCGUAGAGUCGAGAGACGAAAGUGCGGGACCGCAAGGCCGCAUGCCAUAGGAUGAGCCCAAGUGGGAUUAGGUAGUUGGUGGGGUAAAGGCCUACCAAGCCGACGAUCUCUAGCUGGUCUGAGAGGAUGACCAGCCACACCGGGACUGAGACACGGCCCGGACUCCUACGGGAGGCAGCAGUGGGGAAUAUUGCGCAAUGGGGGCAACCCUGACGCAGCCAUGCCGCGUGAAUGAAGAAGGCCUUCGGGUUGUAAAGUUCUUUCGGUAUUGAGGAAGGUUGUUGUGUUAAUAGCACGACAAAUUGACGUUAAAUACAGAAGAAGCACCGGCUAACUCCGUGCCAGCAGCCGCGGUAAUACGGAGGGUGCGAGCGUUAAUCGGAAUAACUGGGCGUAAAGGGCACGCAGGCGGACUUUUAAGUGAGGUGUGAAAUCCCGGGGCUUAACCUGGGAAUUGCAUUUCAGACUGGGAGUCUAGAGUACUUUAGGGAGGGGUAGAAUUCCACGUGUAGCGGUGAAAUGCGUAGAGAUGUGGAGGAAUACCGAAGGCGAAGGCAGCCCCUUGGGAAUGUACUGACGCUCAUGUGCGAAAGCGUGGGGAGCAAACAGG